rnacentral:rRNA from 1 species
GCAGCCGCGGUAAUACGUAGGUGGCAAGCGUUGUCCGGAUUUACUGGGUGUAAAGGGUGCGCAGGCGGGACUGCAAGUUGGAUGUGAAAUACCGGAGCUCAACUCCGGAACUGCAUCCAAAACUGUAGUUCUUGAGUGGAGUAGAGGUAAGCGGAAUUCCGAGUGUAGCGGUGAAAUGCGUAGAUAUUCGGAGGAACACCAGUGGCGAAGGCGGCUUACUGGGCUCUAACUGACGCUGAGGCACGAAAGUGUGGGUAGCAAACAGGAUUAGAUACCCC